rnacentral:rRNA from 1 species
UACGGAGGAUCCGAGCGUUAUCCGGAUUUAUUGGGUUUAAAGGGAGCGUAGGCGGGUUGUUAAGUCAGUUGUGAAAGUUUGCGGCUCAACCGUAAAAUUGCAGUUGAUACUGGCAUCCUUGAGUACAGUAGAGGUAGGCGGAAUUCGUGGUGUAGCGGUGAAAUGCUUAGAUAUCACGAAGAACUCCGAUUGCGAAGGCAGCCUGCUGGACUGUAACUGACGUUGAGGCUCGAAAGCGUGGGGAGCAAACAGG